UCAGACUUACCUUGGGAGCAGCCAUCCGGAAGAUCAACUUCUCAAUGUGACUUUUUCCAGAGUUCUGGUCCGGAGUGGAUCUAAUCACAAGCAUGAAGUCAUCCCGGCAGCCACCAAAGGUCAUCACGGAAGAGUAGGGCAAUCCACACCAGAGUCUUCUCCUUGGAAGACAGCAGGGCAGGCUGGAGAAAGGAGAAAAGCUCAUCAGGGGUAGCAUUGAGAAAGAAGUCAAGAAAGAAGAUGAUAUGGAUCACUCUGGAAUAAUCCUCACCCCCCCACCCCCCAAAAAAAGAAUCACAAGAGCUAUAGACCAGAAAUGAGUGGAGAGACUGCGACCCCUGGUGGUUGUGGGUGUGCAGGCAGGCAAUGCGGCCUGCGCUGGUUUAAAGAGGAAGGCAGCUCCUACAGAAACUCAGGCUGAGGCUGAAGCUGAGG